GACAAACGCUGGCGGCGUGUAUUAGGCAUGCAAGUCGAACGGACACUUCGGUGUCAGUGGCGGACGGGUGAGUAACACGUGGGUAACCUGCCUUCGAGUGGGGAAUAACUCGCCGAAAGGCGAGCUAAUACCGCAUACUACUACCGGUGAGAUUCCGGAUAGUAAAAGCAGUAAUGCGCUCGAUGAGGGGCCUGCGGCCGAUUAGCUUGUUGGUGGGGGUAAUGGCCUACCAAGGCGACGAUCGGUAGCUGGUCUGAGAGGAUGGUCAGCCACACGGGGACUGAGAUACGGGCCCCCGACUCCUACGGGAGGCAGCAGCUAAGAAUCUUGCGCAAUGGGCGAAAGCCUGACGCAGCAACGCCGCGUGGAGGACGAAGGCCCUCGGGUCGUAAACUCCUUUUGCGAGGGAAGAAGAUCUGACGGUACCUCGC
rnacentral:rRNA from 1 species